rnacentral:rRNA from 1 species
UACAGAGGUCUCAAGCGUUGUUCGGAUUCAUUGGGCGUAAAGGGUGUGUAGGUGGCGCGCUAAGUCGGGUGUGAAAUUUCGGAGCUUAACUCCGAAACUGCAUUCGAUACUGCGGUGCUUGAGGACUGGAGAGGAGACUGGAAUUUACGGUGUAGCGGUGAAAUGCGUAGAUAUCGUAAGGAAGACCAGUGGCGAAGGCGGGUCUCUGGGCCGAUACUGACGCUGAGGAGCGAAAGCGUGGGGAGCGAACAGG